rnacentral:tRNA from 1 species
CUGGAUAAGGGGCGGAUGUAGCCAAGUGGAUCAAGGCAGUGGAUUUGUGAAUC